rnacentral:tRNA from 1 species
AUUUUAAUAGUUUAUAAUAAAAUAUUAAAUUGCAAAUUUAAAGAAAAUAGUUUAUUUUAAAAUU